CAGUCGCCGCGGUAAUACAGAGGGUGCAAGCGUUAAUCGGAAUUACUGGGCGUAAAGCGUGCGCAGACGGUUGCGUAAGUCAGAUGUGAAAGCCCCGGGCUCAACCUGGGAAUUGCAUUUGAGACUGCGUAGCUAGGGUGCGGAAGAGGGAAGCGGAAUUUCCGGUGUAGCGGUGAAAUGCGUAGAUAUCGGAAGGAACACCAGUGGCGAAAGCGGCUUCCUGGUCCAGCACCGACGUUCAGGCACGAAAGCGUGGGGAGCAAACAGGAUUAGAUACCCGGGUAGUCCCUGUCUCUUAUAC
rnacentral:rRNA from 1 species